rnacentral:rRNA from 1 species
AAUAUCUAGCUCACUAGAUAACGAUAAAGAGCCGCAGUAUUUUAACUGUGCUAAGGUAGCAUAAUAAAUAGUCUUUUAAUUGGAGACUGGAAUGAAAGAUUUAAUGAGAAAUCAACUGUUUUAGAAUUAAGUGUUGAAUUUAAAUUUUUAGUAAAAAUGCUAAAAUUUAAUUUGGGGACGAGAAGACCCUAUAGAUUUUUAUUUAUUAAUUUAAGAUUAAAUUUUAAUUUUUAUGGUUUUAGGUUGGAUGAAUUUGGCUGGGGCAGUUUAAUAAUAAGAGGAAUUUAUUGAAUUUGAAAUUAUUUAUAAAUAUUAUUGUGAUCUUUUUUUUUUUGAUUAAUAAAUUAAAUUACCUUAGGGAUACCAGCGUAAUUUUAUUGGAUAGUUCAUAUUGAAAAUGAAGAAUUGCGACCUCGAAUGUUGAAUUAGAGAAUACAAUUAGAAGUAUAAAAUUAUUCAUUAGUUAGUUCUGUUCU